AUUGCAGGCUGCAACCCGCCCUGUAUGAAGUUGGAAUCGCUAGUAAUCGCGGANCAGCAUGCCGCGGUGAAUACGUUCCCGGGCCUUGUACACACCGCCCGUCACACCAUGAGAGUCGGGAACACCCGAAGUCCGUAGCCUAACCGCAAGGAGGGCGCGGCCGAAGGUGGGUUCGAUAAUUGGGGUGAAGUCGUAACAAGGUACC
rnacentral:rRNA from 1 species